UGAGCAACCUGCCCUUGACUCUGGAAUAACAGCUGGAAACAGCUGCUAAUACCGGAUACGACCUCCGAUGGCAUCAUCUGGAGGUGGAAAGCUCCGACGGUCAAGGAUGGGCUCGCGGCCUAUCAGCUAGUUGGUGUGGGUAAUGGCCCACCAAGGCGACGACGGGUAGCAGGCCUGAGAGGGUGACCGGCCACACUGGGACUGAGACACGGCCCAGAUCCGUACGGG
rnacentral:rRNA from 1 species